UACGAAGGGGGCUAGCGUUGCUCGGAAUCACUGGGCGUAAAGCGCACGUAGGCGGAUCCUUAAGUCGGGGGUGAAACCCUGGAGCUCAACUCCAGAACUGCCUUCGAUACUGAGGAUCUCGAGUCCGGGAGAGGUGAGUGGAACUGCGAGUGUAGAGGUGAAAUUCGUAGAUAUUCGCAAGAACACCAGUGGCGAAGGCGGCUCACUGGCCCGGUACUGACGCUGAGGUGCGAAAGCGUGGGGAGCAAACAGG
rnacentral:rRNA from 1 species